AACAGCCGAGUUUGUUACAAAUAUUCAACUAUAUAGGUAUAACAUAUUAUACACAAGAGAAGCAUAUUAUGUGCCGUGCGAGGACCAGUUUUCUCCGAACGAUCAGAUAAUCCGGCCGAUGAAGUGGGAGUGGUGAACUAUUGGAUAACAAAAUGCGUAGUAUUUUAUUUUUGAAUAUCGCCUUGUGUUUUUUUGCCGCCUGUCAUUAGUGUAUGUUAGUCUCCGAGCCGCUCUGAACAUAAUACGAAC